CAUACGGCAAAGAGAUCCUAUCUUAAAAAGAUACGAUCUCUUUGGGGAAGAAAUUUAUCGUUUAUCUAUCUCUAGGCUUUAAAAGAUAAGGAACUGCCUUGGGUAAACUGGCUCUUUUGGGAGGCACCAUAACUUAAGGAGGAAAUUUAGAACUCUAUUCUCCUGCCACAUAGGUUUCCCAGAAGUCGCAGAUCUGGGCUUCUCUGAUGCAGGAGAUGCCAACAUACCCCAUCUAAUAAAAUUUGUGUACAAGGCAUUGGAAGAAUUGACUGAGUAAUCAGUGAAAACUUCCAUAGAACUGACAGUGUUGGGUUGCAGGACACAAGGAGUCUGAAGAGGGAUUCAGAUGAGGUUAAUCUGUGAGGAGCAAGUCAGUCCAGUGACUAAGAACACCUGCAUCAUAUCCUGGUUCUACCACUUACUAGCUGUGUAUCAGAGAAGAAAAUGUCUUCUUUAAGCCUCAUGUGGAUAAUGUUUUAUUGUGAGGAUGAAGUAAGACAAUUUAUGUAAGAGAUGCUUCCCCUGAC